GUGACUGCGUACCUUUUGUAUAAUGGGUCAGCGACUUAUAUUCUGUAGCAAGGUUAACCGAAUAGGGGAGCCGGAGGGAAACCGAGUCUUAAUUGGGCGUUAAGUUGCAGGGUAUAGACCCGAAACCCGGUGAUCUAGCCAUGGGCAGGUUGAAGGUUGGGUAACACUAACUGGAGGACCGAACCGACUAAUGUUGAAAAAUUAGCGGAUGACCUGUGGCUGGGGGUGAAAGGCCAAUCAAACCGGGAGAUAGCUGGUUCUCCCCGAAAGCUAUUUAGGUAGCGCCUCGUGAAUUCAUCUCCGGGGGUAGAGCACUGUUUCGGCUAGGGGGCCAUCCCGGCUUACCAACCCGAUGCAAACUGCGAAUACCGGAGAAUGUUAUCACGGGAGACACACGGCGGGUGCUAACGUCCGUCGUGAAGAGGGAAACAACCCAGACCGCCAGCUAAGGUCCCAAAGUCAUGGUUAAGUGGGAAACGAUGUGGGAAGGCCCAGACAGCCAGGAUGUUGGCUUAGAAGCAGCCAUCAUUUAAAGAAAGCGUAAUAGCUCACUGGUCGAGUCGGCCUGCGCGGAAGAUGUAACGGGGCUAAACCAUGCACCGAAGCUGCGGCAGCGACACUCAGGUGUUGUUGGGUAGGGGAGCGUUCUGUAAGCCUGUGAAGGUGGCCUGUGAGGGUUGCUGGAGGUAUCAGAAGUGCGAAUGCUGACAUAAGUAACGAUAAAGCGGGUGAAAAGCCCGCUCGCCGGAAGACCAAGGGUUCCUGUCCAACGUUAAUCGGGGCAGGGUGAGUCGACCCCUAAGGCGAGGCCGAAAGGCGUAGUCGAUGGGAAACGGGUUAAUAUUCCCGUACUUGGUGUUACUGCGAAGGGGGGACGGAGAAGGCUAUGUUGGCCGGGCGACGGUUGUCCCGGUUUAAGCGUGUAGGUGUGUGUUCCAGGUAAAUCCGGUUCACUUUAACACUGAGGCGUGAUGACGAGGCACUACGGUGCUGAAGCAACAAAUGCCCUGCUUCCAGGAAAAGCCUCUAAGCAUCAGGUAACAUCAAAUCGUACCCCAAACCGACACAGGUGGUCAGGUAGAGAAUACCAAGGCGCUUGAGAGAACUCGGGUGAAGGAACUAGGCAAAAUGGUGCCGUAACUUCGGGAGAAGGCACGCUGACACGUAGGUGAAGUGAUUUACUCAUGGAGCUGAAGUCAGUCGAAGAUACCAGCUGGCUGCAACUGUUUAUUAAAAACACAGCACUGUGCAAACACGAAAGUGGACGUAUACGGUGUGACGCCUGCCCGGUGCCGGAAGGUUAAUUGAUGGGGUCAGCGCAAGCGAAGCUCCUGAUCGAAGCCCCGGUAAACGGCGGCCGUAACUAUAACGGUCCUAAGGUAGCGAAAUUCCUUGUCGGGUAAGUUCCGACCUGCACGAAUGGCGUAAUGAUGGCCAGGCUGUCUCCACCCGAGACUCAGUGAAAUUGAACUCGCUGUGAAGAUGCAGUGUACCCGCGGCAAGACGGAAAGACCCCGUGAACCUUUACUAUAGCUUGACACUGAACAUUGAGCCUUGAUGUGUAGGAUAGGUGGGAGGCUUUGAAGUGUGGACGCCAGUCUGCAUGGAGCCGACCUUGAAAUACCACCCUUUAAUGUUUGAUGUUCUAACGUGGACCCGUAAUCCGGGUUGCGGACAGUGUCUGGUGGGUAGUUUGACUGGGGCGGUCUCCUCCUAAAGAGUAACGGAGGAGCACGAAGGUUGGCUAAUCCUGGUCGGACAUCAGGAGGUUAGUGCAAUGGCAUAAGCCAGCUUGACUGCGAGCGUGACGGCGCGAGCAGGUGCGAAAGCAGGUCAUAGUGAUCCGGUGGUUCUGAAUGGAAGGGCCAUCGCUCAACGGAUAAAAGGUACUCCGGGGAUAACAGGCUGAUACCGCCCAAGAGUUCAUAUCGACGGCGGUGUUUGGCACCUCGAUGUCGGCUCAUCACAUCCUGGGGCUGAAGUAGGUCCCAAGGGUAUGGCUGUUCGCCAUUUAAAGUGGUACGCGAGCUGGGUUUAGAACGUCGUGAGACAGUUCGGUCCCUAUCUGCCGUGGGCGCUGGAGAACUGAGGGGGGCUGCUCCUAGUACGAGAGGACCGGAGUGGACGCAUCACUGGUGUUCGGGUUGUCAUGCCAAUGGCACUGCCCGGUAGCUAAAUGCGGAAGAGAUAAGUGCUGAAAGCAUCUAAGCACGAAACUUGCCCCGAGAUGAGUUCUCCCUGAGACUUAGAGUCUCCUGAAGGAACGUUGAAGACGACGACGUUGAUAGGCCGGGUGUGUAAGCGCAGCGAUGCGUUG
rnacentral:rRNA from 1 species